AUUGAACGCUGGCGGCAGGCCUAACACAUGCAAGUCGAGCGGGGUUUUCGGACCUAGCGGCGGACGGGUGAGUAAUGCGUAGGAAGCUACCCGAUAGAGGGGGAUACCAGUUGGAAACGACUGUUAAUACCGCAUAAUGUCUACGGACCAAAGUGUGGGACCUUCGGGCCACAUGCUAUCGGAUGCGCCUACGUGGGAUUAGCUAGUUGGUGGGGUAAUGGCUCACCAAGGCGACGAUCCCUAGCUGGUUUGAGAGGAUGAUCAGCCACACUGGAACUGAGACACGGUCCAGACUCCUACGGGAGGCAGCAGUGGGGAAUAUUGGGACAAUGGGCGAAAGGCCUGAUCCAGCCAUGCCGCGUGUGUGAAGAAGGUCUUAGGGUUGUAAAGCNCUUUUACCCGAGAAUGAUAAUGACAGUAAUUCGGGAGAA
rnacentral:rRNA from 1 species